ACUCCUACGGGAGGCAGCAGUGGGGAAUCUUAGACAAUGGGCGCAAGCCUGAUCUAGCCAUGCCGCGUGAGUGAUGAAGGUCUUAGGAUCGUAAAGCUCUUUCGCCAGGGAUGAUAAUGACAGUACCUGGUAAAGAAACCCGGCUAACUCCGUGCCAGCAGCCGCGGUAAUACGGAGGGGGUUAGCGUUGUUCGGAAUUACUGGGGCGUAAAGCGCGCGUAGGCGGAUUGGAAAGUUGGGGGUGAAAUCCCAGGGGCUCAACCCUGGAACUGCCUCCAAAACUCCCAGUCUUGAGUUCGAGAGAGGUGAGUGGAACUCCGAGUGUAGAGGUGAAAUUCGUAGAUAUUCGGAAGAACACCAGUGGCGAAGGCGGCUCACUGGCUCGAUACUGACGCUGAGGUGCGAAAGUGUGGGGAGCAAACAGGAUUAGAUACCCUGGUAGGAUAGCG
rnacentral:rRNA from 1 species